AGUCACUUCACUAGCAAGGACUGUGCUGUCAGUUUCCAGUGGCCUCUCUUCUCCAUCCGCUGAGCUGGAGUGUCACACUUGAUUUGGUGUCUGUCCCUAAGAAAGCUGUUCUGGUGUCAAUUCUUUGGAAUACAGAGAAAACUAGCUCAAGCCCUGAAAUGGCUAUUUUGCACCUGUCUGCCACCUCAUCUGUCUGCUCCUGUCUGCCAUAUGAAGACGUGCUGUCUUACUAGCAAAGUAUCUGUGCUAGAAUAUGGAUUUAAUAACAGGGCACAUUUGGAAGAUGUACACUGCUGAAAGAGUUCUGAACAAUCACAUCUUUACUGUACACAGAGGCCCACAGAUGUCUUGCAAGGACAUAAUUAACCAGGAGAAUUUUUAAGGUGCUGCCCACACAAAGAUACUAAAGAAGAGAAGAUAAGCCAAGGGCAGGCCAAGCUACCUUCUUCAAGUGCCUACCUCAGCUGGUUGAAUAUAUAGGAAAUCUCAUAUUUGAAACUUCAUGUUGAGAUGACUGAAAGUAGGAAAGUUCAAGAAAUAACCACUGGACUGUGAUUUGUUAAAGCAAAGAAAAGUGUCCUGGAAGGAUGAGAAAAAAGGGAUUGUGUUCCCAAUCCCACCUGGUGCUGCACAGCUUUGUGCAGCUGAAGGAGGGUACUGAGUUCCAUGUUUGCAGACAUACAGGGAUCUGCUAUCCAAAUACUGAAAUCACUGUUGGGAAGAGAAGACGUUUUUUGCCUGCUCUCCAACCGGAGAGGUUGUUCAAUGUCUCUGUUUGCUUUUUCAUCUAUGCCAUUCACUCUGUGUUUUAACAAUCUGAUUCCACAGAUUGCCUCCAAUUACACAUUAUUUUCAUUAUAAUUUGUAUCUGCUUUUC
rnacentral:lncRNA from 7 species